CCAAAUUCUCUCUCCCCGGAGCGAGAGGAUUAAUGUCAGGGGGUUUUUCUCUCCCCCGCCGAGGACACCCCCAAAAAAAUGGUUUUUUUGGCGAGAGUUUUUUCUCCUCUCCCCCCUCCCGCCCCCCGGCGGGUUGGCCCCCGCCCGGCGGAUAAGCAAACUCUGAUUUAACGACGCCCUCUUCGAGUGGUGCAAGCAAAUAAUCAAAACUUUUAACAACGGAUUUUUUGGUUUUGGCAUCGAUGAAGAACGCAGCGAAAUGCGAUAAGUAAUGUGAAUUGCAGAAUUCAGUGAAUCAUGGAAUCUUUGAACGCACAUUGCGCCCGCCAGCAUUCUGGCGGGCAUGCCUGUUCGAGCGUCAUUUCAACCCUCAAGCUCUGCUUGGUGUUGGGGCCCUACAGCUGAUGUAGGCCCUCAAAGGUAGUGGCGGACCCUCCCGGAGCCUCCUUUGCGUAGUAACUUUACGUCUCGCACUGGGAUCCGGAGGGACUCUUGCCGUAAAACCCCCAAUUCUCCAAAGGUGACCUCGGAUCAGGUAGGAAUGCCCGCAGAACUCAG
rnacentral:rRNA from 1 species